UUUUGUUCCACUUAUAUAUAUACCCCUCACGUUUUAUUUCCUCAUUUUUCAUUCCCCAACCAUAGAAAACCCUAAAAUAUUUCCUCUCAACAUUUUCCAUUAAAUCAGUGAAGUUUUACCAAGAUCCGAGCCCCGUGAACCCGAGCUAGUGAAGGUAAAGUUAUUCCUAGGGUUCCAUUGAAUUUGUUGAGCUUAGGAGUUGGAGUUGAAGUUGAUUUUUGGAGUUCUAGUCCCUUCAAUGUAUGUAUAAGAUUCUUAUCUUUGUUUUAGUUAAUUAUCAAGAGUUUUAGUGAUUUAAGGUGAAGGAGAUGGUGUUGUGGAGGCAUAAACUAGUUUAUUAGUAUGGUUGCUUUAUGGGCUGAUUUUGAUUAGAUUUUUGGAAGAGAUUCUUACUUGCUUAUGUUGCCAUAUAAUGUUAUUAUUGUUGUUGAUGUUUGGGUUGAAUUGGAAAUUGAGGGAUUGUUAGGUUUACAAAGGAAAUGCUGUCCGAGAUUCGUUAAGUUCCUCUCAUACUUGAAUUGGAUAGUAAGUGAUGUACAUGGUCUAAUUGUGGCCUAUGUUAUCUUGAUUGUAGACUUGCGAGUUCAAGAAGUAGACGUUGGACGAUUAGAUACGCUUCAAGAUUAGUGAAGUUUUACCAAGAAUCGAGCCCCGUGAACCCGAGCUAGUGAAGGUAAAGAUAUUCCUAGGGUUCCAUUAAAGUUUUUGAGCUUAGGAGUUGGAGUUGAAGUUGAUUUUUGGAGUUCCAGUCCCUUCAAGGUAUGUAUAAGAUUCUUAUCUUUGUUUUGAGUUAAUUAUCAAGAGUUUUAGUGAUUUAAGGUGAAGGAGAUGGUGUUGUAGAGGCAAAAACUAAUUUGUUAGUAUGGUUGCCUUAUGGCUGAUUUUGAUUAGAUUUUUGGAAGAGAUUCUUACUUGCUUUUGUUGCCAUAUGAUGUUGUUGUUGUUGUUGUUGUUGAUGUUUGGGUUGAAUUGGAAAUUGAGGGAUUGUUAGGUUUACAAAGGAAAUGUCAUCCGAUAUUCGUUAAGUUCCUCUCAUACUUGAAUUGGAUAGUAAGUGAUGUACAUGGUCUAAUUGUGGCCUAUGUUAUCUUGAUUGCAGACUUGCGAGUUCGAGAAGUAGAUGUCGCAUGAUUAGACACGCUUCAAGGUACGAGUAUAAGGGUGUCUGGUCAGUAGGGGUCGGGCACUCCUCAUGACUCAUCGGUUUGGGUCGUGACAGCAAACGACAAGGGGUAUUCGCAAAAAGGCAUGAGAUGCCUAUGAACUUUGUGCUAGAGGUGGAACUGUUUGAUGUAUGGGGGAUUGACUUCUUGGGUUCAUUUGUGAGCUCUGGUGGAAUGAGGUCGAAGUACUUUGGGAAGCAUAUACAUAUUGAGUGAUGGAUUAAGCGUCAAAGUGGCUGAUUUGGGGCUUUGAGGAGCAAAAGGAUCUUCAAUUCCAAACCUCGAUCAAGGCUGCACUUGAAAAAGGUGUUCUGGGAAGAAGUCAUUUAGAGUGAUAAGGAUAUGGAAGGAUUAUAGGGUGAUUUCUGGGUGUAUAAGUUGUUCGUGCAGUUGGUAGGGUGACGGUGCUUAGACGGAUAACAGGGUUAGUGUGAGCAGGUUGUAGUGCUUGGUAUUAUGGCACGGAGUGGGUAGUUUCGGGGAUUUGGGUAAUGUUGAUGGGCAGUGGAGUAUGGCGUGAUGUACCAAUAUGGGGAGGUCCAUCAGCAAGAGGAUUUUGGGUGGGCAGUAUGGUUCCAAUAGGGUAAGUGGAAAGUGGUCAGGUAGUGGGGAACUCAUAGAUGGAAAGGGCGGAGGAGGCCUCCUUGCUUCAACAGAUGUUUCCUUAGCCGCAUAGGCCGAUUCAGCUCUCGCUACCUUCUUUUGAAGGUCAGCAACUUUCUCAAAUAUCAUGGCGAUUACAUCCUCAUAAUGCAUCGCCCCUUUCAGGUCUGGGGAUACGGAAUCCUUAUGGCGAGUACGUUCUUAUCACUUUCACCUUUUGAAGUACCAGCCAUUUUUUCUUUGCCUUUGUCUUGUUCAUACUGUUGCGACUUUGGAUCUAGUGAAGUAAGCUAGCAUAACGCGACAAGGAUCAUCCCUUUUUAUAAGAAAAGAAAAACUCAAAGGCAAACAAUGUUAGCAUGUUUAGGAAAUAAUAAACAAUACAGGAUAUCACACAUAAUUUGCAAGUAAGCAUACAAAGCGUAGAAAAUUCAUGUAUUCGAUCCAAAUGCUUGAUUGAUCCGCCAUUCUGAGGUUUUAGUAUUUUGGCCCUUUGAAUGUUUUGCGGAUUUUGGUUAGGGAGUCUUUGGUUGACUUGCUUCUCGCAAUAUCAUCGGGACUUUACCCUUUGAGUGAUCCUCUUGAUACUUUAAGUUUGUUAAUCUGGUCCUCAUAAUGAUUAGGAGAAAUGAGUGUAAUUAUCGAUCACAUAAGAAAUUGGUAGUAGCUGCAACUGAGAUGAGCGUGGUUAUGGUGGUAGACGAAUCAUGAAUGUAAGGAGGUGCUGCAGAAAGCCUCUUUUUUUAACAUGUAACCUCUUGAUUCACUUUUCCCCCCCAGUCAUAGUGUUUGAAAGUCAUGACUGGCACCCAACUGUAAGGCCAAGCGCCUACCCAUAAUAUCUGUCAUACAUUGCUUAAAACACCUAGGCCGACAAGGCCUAUAUAUACGAGAGAUCGAUGAGUAGAGAUUAUGUCAACCAUCAUUAACUUGCGAAGCAUGGCCACCAUGAGGAUGCAUAAGUCAUAGCCAGGCCAAUAAAGCCAUACCAAAAGCUGUACAUACUAGCCAUGAGCCGACAAGGCUAUACAUAAGAAACCUGUACGAUGACACAUGUCUACGAGCCUUUAAGCGUGCACCUAACUAACAUAACAGUAGGGACAGGGCCCUGCCAUACCCAAAAUAUACAUAAAUACAGUGCAUACCAAAAUGACAGCAAAGAAUGUUCUGAAGUAGUGGAACUCACCGGUC